rnacentral:tRNA from 1 species
GAGGGUGUAGCUCAGGUGGUAGAGCGCAUGCUUAGCAUGCACAAAAGGUCCUGGGUUCAAUCCCCAGUACCUCCU